CCUACGGGGUGCAGCAGUAGGGAAUCUUCCACAAUGGGCGAAAGCCUGAUGGAGCAACGCCGCGUGGGUGAAGAAGUUCUUCGGAUCGUAAAACCCUGUUGUUAGAGAAGAAAGUGCGUGAGAGUAACUGUUCACGUUUCGACGGUAUCUAACCAGAAAGCCACGGCUAACUACGUGCCAGCAGCCGCAGUAAUACGUAGGUGGCAAGCGUUAUCCGGAUUUAUUGGGCGUAAAGGGAACGCAGGCGGUCUUUUAAGUCUGAUGUGAAAGCCUUCGGCUUAACCGGAGUAGUGCAUUGGAAACUGGGAGACUGGAGUGCAGGAGAGGAGAGUGGAACUCCAUGUGUAGCGGUGAAAUGCGUAGAUAUAUGGAAGAACACCAGUGGCGAAGGCGGCUCUCUGGUCUGUAACUGACGCUGAGGUUCGAAAGCGUGGGUAGCAAACAGGAUUAGAUACCCGAGUAGUC
rnacentral:rRNA from 1 species